rnacentral:tRNA from 1 species
GCUUCAGUAGUGUAAUGGAUAAGCACCACAUACCGGAUAUCUGUAGGUGCGGGUUCGAGUCUCGCCUGAGGUU